AAUACUUUGAUGGCGACCGGCAAACGGGUGCGGAACACGUACACAACCUUCCGAUAAGUGGGGAAUAGCCCAGAGAAAUUUGGAUUAAUACCCCGUAACAUUGCGAUGUGGCAUCACAUUGCAAUUAUAGCUUCGGCGCUUAUUGAUGGGUGUGCGUAUGAUUAGAUAGUUGGCGGGGUAACGGCCCACCAAGUCUACGAUCAUUAGCUGAUGUGAGAGCAUGAUCAGCCACACGGGCACUGAGACACGGGCCCGACUCC
rnacentral:rRNA from 1 species